rnacentral:rRNA from 1 species
GAACGCUGGCGGCAUGCCUAACACAUGCAAGUCGAACGGUAACGCGGAGAGCUUGCUCUCUGGCGACGAGUGGCGGACGGGUGAGUAAUACUUAGGAAUCUACCCAGUAGUGGGGGACAACAUUCGGAAACGGAUGCUAAUACCGCAUACGCACUACGGUGGAAAGUGGGGGACCUUCGGGCCUCACGCUAUUGGAUGAGCCUAAGUCGGAUUAGCUUGUUGAUGAGGUAAUGGCUCACCAAGGCGACGAUCCGUAGCUGGUCUGAGAGGACGAUCAGCCACACUGGGACUGAGACACGGCCCAGACUCCUACGGGAGGCAGCAGUGGGGAAUAUUGGACAAUGGGCGCAAGCCUGAUCCAGCAAUGCCGCGUGUGUGAAGAAGGCCUGCGGGUUGUAAAGCACUUUCAGUAGAGAAGAAAAGCCUAGGGAUAAUACCCCUGAGUCUUGACGUAACCUACAGAAGAAGCACCGGCUAACUCCGUG